UACGUAGGCAGCAAGCGUUGUUCGGAGUUACUGGGCGUAAAGGGUGCGUAGGUGGCUCUAUAAGUAUGGUGUGAAAUCUCCCGGCUUAACUGGGAGGGUGCGCCGUAGACUGUGGGGCUAGAGUGUGGGAGAGGAAAGUGGAAUUCCUGGUGUAGCGGUAAAAUGCGUAGAUAUCAGGAGGAACACCGGUGGUGUAAACGGCUUUCUGGACCAUAACUGACACUGAGGCACGAAAGCGUGGGUAGCAAACAGG
rnacentral:rRNA from 1 species